GACAGAGGGGGCAAGCGUUGCUCGGAAUUACUGGGCGUAAAGGGCGCGUAGGCGGGAUGGCAAGUCGGUCGUGAAAUCCUUCGGCUCAACCGAAGAACGUCGAUCGAUACUGCUGUUCUUGAGGGUUGCAGAGGAGACUGGAAUUCCCGGUGUAGCGGUGAAAUGUGUAGAGAUCGGGAGGAACACCUGCGGCGAAGGCGGGUUGCUGGGCCGACACUGACGCUGAUGCGCGAAAGCCAGGGGAGCGAACGGG
rnacentral:rRNA from 1 species